GAGUCUAUAUUGUUGGUCUUCAACGAGGAAUUCCUAGUAAGCGCGAGUCAUUAGCUCGAAGGAUCAUUGCAAUUGUUGGUCUUCAACGAGGAAUUCCUAGUAAGCGCGAGUCAUCAGCUCGCGUUGACUACGUCCCUGCCCUUUGUACACACCGCCCGUCGCUCCUACCGAUUGAAUGGUCCGGUGAAGUGUUCGGAUCGCGGCGACGUGGGCGGUUCGCCGCCGGCGACGUCGCGAGAAGUUCACUGAACCUUAUCAUUUAGAGGAAGGAGAAGUCGUAACAAGGUUUCCGUAGGUGAACCUGCGGAAGGAUCAUUG
rnacentral:ncRNA from 1 species